UGGGUACCGCGGGCCGGAAGUGUAGCGUUGCCAUGGCGAGGGCCGGGCGCGGGGCCCGCCCCCGCAGCGCCUCAGGGAGCGCGGGGCCCACUGACCCGCGGAAGCCAGCGGACCCACUUGCGCGGCGGUCGGCGCGGGGCGCGAGAUGAGGAAAUCGAGGCCGCAGAGAAGGGACUUACCCAAACUUAAGCUUUGUGUGGGCCUUGGAGCUAGGCUGAAGGAGAACCUGGAGUCUCACUGGGGUACUGGCACACGGAUGAGGAGUCGUAGAAGAGGGGCCUGCAGAUUGUGCUCUCAGCAAGCCUGUCGUCUAGUGGAAGACACUGGCCGGGACACAGAGCCCACGUGUGGACACCGCUGUGGGUUGGUGGCAGGGGUCGAGCAGGUGCCAUCAGGCACAUGAACGGUGGAGUCUUCAAAGGUGUGAGCAGCUGCCGGAAGAGGAGGUGCUCCUGAAGACACUGCGGCCGGCCCGCCUGUGCCCUUGGUGCCCUGGCUGCCUAGAGAGCCUCACCCCUGGGCCCUGGGGCCAGGACUCCAGGACUCUGACUACCUGCCCUCCCCCAGCCUCAGCGGCUGCACCUCCUCAUUAGUACUGAUGCGCUGACCUCGGCACACAGCUGGGAGGGGUUGAGG
rnacentral:sRNA from 1 species